CACGUAGGGCGCAAGCGUUGUCCGGAAUUAUUGGGCGUAAAGAGCUCGUAGGCGGUCUGUUACGUCUGCUGUGAAAACCCUGGGCUUAACCCUGGGCUUGCAGUGGAUACGGGCAGACUAGAGGCAGGUAGGGGAGAAUGGAAUUCCCGGUGUAGCGGUGAAAUGCGCAGAUAUCGGGAGGAACACCGGUGGCGAAGGCGGUUCUCUGGGCCUUACCUGACGCUGAGGAGCGAAAGCGUGGGGAGCGAUCUGG
rnacentral:rRNA from 1 species